CACCGCGGUUAUACGAGAGGCCCAAGUAAACAGACAACGGCACAAAGGGUGGUUAGAGGAGUAACAAAGACUAAAGCAAAACCCUUUCAACGCUGUGAUACGCCACCGAAAACGUGAAACUCAAUUACGAAAGUAGCUUUAACAAUCCUGAACCCACGAAAGCUAGGGGA
rnacentral:rRNA from 3 species